rnacentral:sRNA from 1 species
CUUGGUCAUUUAGAGGAAGUAAAAGUCAUAACAAGGUUUCCGUAGGUGAACCUGCGGAAGGAUCAUUAAUAAUGCCCUCUGGCUUCGGUCAGCUGGGUUCAAAUGAGUGCCUUCUCUUCGGAGUUGGCCAUCCUCACACACCGUGAACUGUGGCUUCGGCCAUCACAAACUGUUAGUAAUGAAUGUAAUAUCAUAACAAAAACAAAACUUUUAACAACGGAUCUCUUGGCUCUCGCAUCGAUGAAGAACGCAGCGAAAUGCGAUAAGUAAUGUGAAUUGCAGAAUUCAGUGAAUCAUCGAAUCUUUGAACGCACCUUGCGCCCUUUGGUAUUCCGAAGGGCAUGCCUGUUUGAGUGUCAUGAAACCUCACCCCACUUGGGUUUUUGCCUGAGCGGUGGUGUAUUGGGUGUUGCCUUGCCAAAGGCUCGCCUUAAAAGUAUAAGCACCUUGGAUGUAAUACGUUUCGUCCUUCUGGGUGGCUAAUAACCCCACAUAUUCAUGAUCUGGCCUCAAAUCAGGUAGGGCUACCCGCUGAACUUAAGCAUAUCAAUAAGCGGAGGAAAAGAAACUAACUAGGAUUCCCUUAGUAACGGCGAGUGAACCGGGAUGAGCUCAAAUUUGAAAUCUGGCGUCUUUCAGGCGUCCGAGUUGUAAUCUAUAGAGGCGUUUUCCGCGCCGGACCGCGUCCAAGUCUCUUGGAAUAGAGUAUCAAAGAGGGUGACAAUCCCGUACUUGACGCGACAACCGGUGCUCUGUGAUACGUUCUCAAUGAGUCGAGUUGUUUGGGAAU